CAAAGGGAGCAAUCCCGGCCACGGAUGGGCAUGGGGCGCAUUAGCUAGUCGGCGGGGUAACGGCCCACCGAGGCGACGAUGCGUAGGGGUUCUGAGAGGAAGGCCCCCCACACUGGUACUGAGACACGGACCAGACUCCUACGGGAGGCAGCAGUGAGGAAUAUUGGUCAAUGGGCGCGAGCCUGAACCAGCCAAGUCGCGUGAGGGAGGACGGCCCUACGGGUUGUAAACCUCUUUUGCCGGGGAGCAACGGGCGCCACGUGUGGCGCCACUGAGAGUACCCGGAGAAAAAGCAUCGGCUAACUCCGUGCCAGCAGCCGCGGUAAUACGGAGGAUGCGAGCGUUAUCCGGAUUUAUUGGGUUUAAAGGGUGCGUAGGCGGAUCGUUAAGUCAGUGGUCAAAUUGAGGGGCUCAACCCCUUCCCGCCAUUGAAACUGGCGAUCUUGAGUGGAAGAGAAGUAUGCGGAAUGCGUGGUGUAGCGGUGAAAUGCAUAGAUAUCACGCAGAACCCCGAUUGCGAAGGCAGCAUGCCGGCUUCCGACUGACGCUGAAGCACGAAAGCGUGGGGAUCGAACAGGAUUAGAUACCCUGGUAGUCCACGCGGUAAACGAUGAGCGCUAGGUGUCCGGGGGGAAUGGCCCCUGG
rnacentral:rRNA from 1 species